UUCAUGCUGUUGUUUUUGUCCUGAGCCUUAAACCUGCCAAAGUCAUAAGUGCAAGCCCCAACGUUCCCCAGCAAGAAUUCCUGGCAGUACAAAGCACUAACAUUGCAAGGUGUAGGGAAAAGAGGAGAGGCUUUGGAAUCAAUUCUACUUCCAAACUCUAGUUCUGCUACUUAGUAGUUGUUCAAGUUACUUAGCACCUCUAAUCCUCAGUUUUCUCUUCUGUAAGAUGAGGAUCAUGAUUCAAUUGAUUAUGAUAGUUAGGUAAUAUAUAAAACAACCAACAUUGUAUCUGACAUAUAGGAGGUGCUUAAUAAGUGGUUACUACUGUUAUAUGGAAGAAGAAAACCAUGCUGGUUGGGAUUACAGCUGCCUUGGAUUUCUAACUUGAGGCUCAAGCACGGUAGUCUUAAGCAGAGCUAAAUUGCCUGUGCAGUAGAGGAAGCUAGCACCAUAAUUUCUGCCUUUCUACACCCACCCCAGGGUGGCCUUUUAAAAAGCAUAUAUCCUGCCAUUUCUAUACCUCCUUCCUUGUGCUUAGGGAAAGGAGAAAA